GUUGCAUGCGGGUGCUAUACAUGCAGUCGAGCGGACAGAAGGGAGCUUGCUCCCGGAUGUUAGCGGCGGACGGGUGAGUAACACGUGGGUAACCUGCCUGUAAGACUGGGAUAACUCCGGGAAACCGGAGCUAAUACCGGAUAGUUCCUUGAACCGCAUGGUUCAAGGAUGAAAGACGGUUUCGGCUGUCACUUACAGAUGGACCCGCGGCGCAUUAGCUAGUUGGUGGGGUAAUGGCUCACCAAGGCGACGAUGCGUAGCCGACCUGAGAGGGUGAUCGGCCACACUGGGACUGAGACACGGCCCAGACUCCUACGGGAGGCAGCAGUAGGGAAUCUUCCGCAAUGGACGAAAGUCUGACGGAGCAACGCCGCGUGAGUGAUGAAGGUUUUCGGAUCGUAAAGCUCUGUUGUUAGGGAAGAACAAGUGCGAGAGUAACUGCUCGCACCUUGACGGUACCUAACCAGAAAGCCACGGCUAACUACGUGCCAGCAGCCGCGGUAAUACGUAGGUGGCAAGCGUUGUCCGGAAUUAUUGGGCGUAAAGGGCUCGCAGGCGGUUUCUUAAGUCUGAUGUGAAAGCCCCCGGCUCAACCGGGGAGGGUCAUUGGAAACUGGGAAACUUGAGUGCAGAAGAGGAGAGUGGAAUUCCACGUGUAGCGGUGAAAUGCGUAGAGAUGUGGAGGAACACCAGUGGCGAAGGCGACUCUCUGGUCUGUAACUGACGCUGAGGAGCGAAAGCGUGGGGAGCGAACAGGAUUAGAUACCCUGGUAGUCCACGCCGUAAACGAUGAGUGCUAAGUGUUAGGGGGUUUCCGCCCCUUAGUGCUGCAGCUAACGCAUUAAGCACUCCGCCUGGGGAGUACGGUCGCAAGACUGAAACUCAAAGGAAUUGACGGGGGCCCGCACAAGCGGUGGAGCAUGUGGUUUAAUUCGAAGCAACGCGAGAACCUUACCAGGUCUUGACAUCCUCUGACACCCUAGAGAUAGGGCUUUCCCUUCGGGGACAGAGUGACAGUGGUGCAUGGUUGUCGUCAGCUCGUGUCGUGAGAUGUUGGGUUAAGUCCCGCAACGAGCGCAACCCUUGAUCUAGUUGCCAGCAUUUAAGUUGGGCACCUCUAAGUGACUGCCGGUGACAACCGAGAAGGUGGGGGAAUGAACGUCCAAAUCAUCAUGCCUAUUGACCUUGGCUUACCACCGUGCUCAAUUGACGGACCAGGGACUGUGUGCGAGAACCGUCCAAGGGUUUAAUGCCGAACCCCCGAUAAAAAUAC
rnacentral:rRNA from 3 species